UACGUAGGCAGCAAGCGUUGUUCGGAGUUACUGGGCGUAAAGGGCGCGUAGGCGGCCACCGCAAGUCGACUGUGAAAUCUCCGGGCUUAACCCGGAAAGGUCAGCCGAUACUGCGGGGCUAGAGUGCAGAAGGGGCAACUGGAAUUCUCGGUGUAGCGGUGAAAUGCGUAGAUAUCGAGAGGAACACCUGCGGCGAAGGCGGGUUGCUGGGCUGACACUGACGCUGAUGCGCGAAAGCGUGGGGAGCGAUCCGG
rnacentral:rRNA from 1 species